rnacentral:lncRNA from 1 species
AGCAUGGAGCCUACCCGUCUGUACUUAUUCCGUGGUCUUGUUGAAAAAACCAUGGAAAGUAAUAAAACUUCCAUGGAAUUUCAAGGUUUUCAUGUAAGAUUUACAUGGAUUUUUGCCGUGGUUGCUACUUUCCGUGCAUUUUCUUACUAUUCUCGGAAAAAAUCCUUGGCAAUGCCAUCAAAACUCCAUGGAAAACUGAAAAAGCUUGGGAAAAAACCUUGGAAUCUGACACUUAGAAAAUUUAAGAUGAAGAAAUUCUAACACUUAGAAAAAAUUAAGCACGGAAACUCACACUUAGGAAAAUUUUAGCACAAAGAAUUUUGACUUAGUCAAAAUUUGGCACGGAAAAAGGGCACGGAAUGUUUCCGUGAAAAAUUUAGACUAAGUCCACACUGAUAGCUAGAAUUUUAGCUAGAUAUUUUAGACAUAUUUUAACCAUGGAGUGCAAUAUUUAUGCAGCUAUUAAUUCAAAAGAAUAUUCAUUCAAAUACUGUAAAAUCAGAUACCCUUUCACGAUUGAAAUUUUGUGAAUAUGAAAAUCCUGUUCUAUAUAUUCUCAUUUAUAAUGCAUUAUUUGCACAUGCAUAUAUUCAUACAUAAUUAUUAUUUAAGCCAGCCCUCAAUUUUCACAAUUAUGGAAAUUGUGAAUACAGUCAAAACCUGUGUUAAAAGACCACCUGCAAACAAAGACCACUUUUACAAAACCUGUCUGAAAAGACCAUAAUUUUUUUCUCCAGUCAGACCAUUAUCAAUGAAUUAUUUAACCAGUUUACAGAGACAGUCUGUAAACAAAGACCACUUAAAAUAAUAUUAAAUUGCAGCAAAGAAUUCAUUCAUUUUGAAAAUCUCAAGAUUUGUUUGGAUUAUACUUAGGUAUUCAAAUUAACUGAAAUGAAACAAGGAAUCUAACUAAUUAAAAUUUAUGUCAAUGUUUACAUUUUGUGUAUUAAAAGGAUGUAAAUUAGAAUUCUAUCAUUUUAUUUAUAAAUUAUAAUUAAUGUAACAAGAUAUAUCAUUGAAAAUUAUUAAGGCCCUAUUUAAUUGAAGCUAUUUAUUUUUUGGUUAUUGAACACCUCAAACAACAGCACCUGAUAAUAGGCAUUAAAAGACAUGUCAUAAGUACAAUAAAUUGUAAAUGAUAUUAUGCUUUUAAUAUAAUGUUACAUCAUCAUAACUGAAUAAGUCUAUUCUUUUGAUGAUUGGCAGUGAUUAAUUAUCUUGCUUUUACAGCCAAUUAAUAUACUGCUGUUCAAUGUAUACAGAUGUGUUAACACACAGAGAUAUAGCUUAUCUGAUCAAGAUAAGGACCAAUGAAAAUACAGGCUUCUGAAGCCAUUUUACACCUGUACCCCAAAAAAUAAUCCCAAUAUUUCUGCUUGGGUUUUUUUUUUUUUUAUGUGACCUUUGCAAAAUUACUGCUGUGUAUUGCUGUGAGCAAAUAAAUGGUCAAAUUUCCCCAUGAACUGUAUAUUUAUAUAUUUUAAGAACAUUCUAUAUAUUCCCUUCAGUAACUAUAUUGUACCAAAGAAAAUGGCUCAUGAAUACAAAAAUUUGAAUGUAAACAGGUUUGUUCAUGUUGUUGGAGGCAAACGGAAUAGAGCUCACUUGAAACUCUAAAAUGCUUUUAGAGAGAUAUCAGAUGAAAGAGUGUGCAUAUCUAGUUAUUUGAAGUAUGCCUAUGUAUGUAAUGAUGUAGUCAGAGAAAUCAGAUGGCUUCAGUGACUAUGCUACAGGAUGAUAUGAGAUCACAGGCAGAAAUUCCAUCAAGGAUCAAGCAUUAAUUACAGAAUAUUUCAACUAUAAUGCAAAUGGCUGGAAUGAAGUUCCUGACACUGGUGAUGGUUUUGGAAAAGCAAAGAGACAUUCUGAUGCCACCUUGUAUUGAGCCUAUGAUACUCUAAAAAAUUUUCUAUCAAAUUAUUUUGAUAUUUAAUAUAUCUUUUAGUUUAAUUUUCAUGUUUAAGCUAAGUAAAUUUUUAUUUUUCUUAACCACAGAUGUAAAAGCUGCUGGCAGAUGUGUUAUUCCCCUUUGAAUUUUAUACUUUUUGUGUUUUUGAAACCCAGACCUGUCUCAAUAUUUUAUUAAAAUAAUUUUGUAAUAAUAUUUCUUUUUUUUUUCUUUCCACUUUUCCUCAGUGCCAGGCCUAAUUCAGAAAUGCCAAAGAUUUUCAAUCUUUUUCUACGUUGCAAUUCUUUGAAAUUGUUUGGAUUUUCAUAACAAAUCUCAAUGGAAUUCAUAGGAAUUCACUGGAAAUUUGUGUCAAUACCAGCAAUGUUUUCCAAUGGUUUUCCAUCAAACCUUUCCAAACUUUUGCAAAGAAUGCUUAGAAAUUCCUUGAACUUUACUGCAAUGAUUUCCAAUGAAUUUUCAAAGAAUUCCAUGCCGAUUUUCAACUGCAUGUUCCCCUGGGUAUGUGAAUUUAAAUUCAAAUUAAUUUUCAGACUUCUCUACUCAAAAAUUCAAAGAAAAUUUCAACCUGGGAAAUUUUCCAAGGUUUCCGUGGUUUUUUAAAACUGAGAACAUUUUAUAUGCUUCUCAGUUUUUAGAACCUUGGAUAUUUUACAAGGAUUUCUGUGGUUUUCGUUUAUGGACCACGGAAAAAAAAACACGGAGAACUGCAAGAGUUCCGGGCCUUUUUACCAUGGAAAGUAUCCGAGGUUUUGUACCAUGGAAAAUAUCCAAGGUUUUGUACCACGGAUUUGGUCCGAAUACUCAAAGGUUUCCGAGGUUUAUUACCACGGAAAAUAUUCAAGGUUUAAAACCACGGAAGUUGUCCGAAUACUCCAAGGUUUCCGAGGUUUCUAUCCAUGGAAAAAAUCCAAGGUUUUUUGCUGCGGAAAAUAUCCACGGUUAAGUACCACGGAAGUUGUCCGAAUACUCCAAGGUUUCCAUGCAUGUGCAUUUUACGAGGUUAUUACGCCAAGGUUUCCGAGGUUUUAUUCCCUGAUUUUUUUUCUUUGGUCAAAAUCUUUCAAAAUAAAAGAGUCCGAAUACUCCAUGGUUUUUUUCCAAGCUGUUUUUCCAAGCUUUCCAUGGAAAAAGUACAGACGGGUGACCAGACUGCGCGGAUGCGCAGGCUGGUCUGGAUCCAUGCUGUUCGCACACCCACUAUGUUGGUUUUCCCAUGGCAUGGCUCAUAUCAUUUAGUAACCUCAGGAGCAGGUACUGACAAAACUCUGGUUAUACAACAGUUUCAUCUGCAAAGUGAAUGCUCAAAAGCAACAAGCACAAUUGUCAGCAGUUGGAAUGAAUUCCUUUUGCUAAUUCUGUCAUAAUGGUUCCAUUUGUACAAAGGGAUUUUCUUUUACAAAAAAUAACUAGAAUGAUUCAAAGUACCCUUAACACUUUAAAAGUUUCUAUUUAAUAUUACCAUCCAAACAUUAUGUCUGUAGAAAGAAGUAUAACAUAUGUUUGGUUCUUGCAAAAUUAGGGAGAAUUUCUCAAAAAAAUAAUCUGUCCCUUACAGAGAUGGUUAGUCAAGUAAUAAUUCAGUUUAUGAUUUUAUAAAUCGAGAUGAGAAGAAAGAAAUGGAAGUAAUUUUUUUCCAUUUUGUACCAGGAAUAAGUUACUGAUUGAAAAUCUAUAAUGUUCACAGAAUGAUGCUACAGUCACAACAACUAAGAAAAUAAAAUGCUUCUCCACCAUUUGAUUUUAUUGUUUCCCUUCUGAGAUAUCACAAAUAGCCUCAAAUUAGUUUAAGAAAACGAGAACAUUUCUGUCCUCUGAACAAAUUGUUACAAUUACUAGAUGAUUUUCCUAUGAGCUCUGACACCUUACACCAAACAAUGACUGAUUAUCACAAAGUUACAGAAGAUAUUGAUGACUUCUUUCAUUUAGAACGAAAACAUUGUGAAAUCUUAUCACCAAUUCUUUUUCCUUAUACUUCCAUAACAAAAUUCUGACAUGUAUCCAGCCACUUCCAACUGACACCUAAGUAUCUACUUAUAUUUUUUGUAAGAAUCAUUUUAGUUUUGAAGGAGAAAAAACAAUACAAAGCCAUAUGAAUAGAUAUACUUGAUCAAAAAUGACCUGACUUCCUGUUUACAAUGGCACAAUGGAAAAAUUGUGUAGUGCAUCACUUUUUUUCAAUACACAUAUUUAGUAAGCUAGAUGCCCAUGGGCAACAUGUCGAGCCCUCUAGCUGUCAAAAGGACUGGGAGUUGCACAUGGCACCCUGUCUUAUUUAGGCAAACAUUUAUGGAAAA